UGGAUUUCUGCCAAAUUAUCAAAUAGACCAAGUAGUCUCAUUUUCUGUUAAUAUAUUUUGGUUUGGGGCUAGGAUUUUUAUGAAAACCCACCUUAAUUUGAAGGUGUGGUUCUAAUAAUGAAGAUUUCAGCUAACAACAGGUCAGCAAGGGCACAUCUCAUUUUUCACAGAGCAUUGGAGAGUCCAGUAUCCCCUGGUUAAGACUUUCAUUGCUUUUCCAUUUUGUGAAGACAGACCUAACACAUCACCCUGGAAGGAGUCUUCAAUAAUGAUAAUCGAUAGGUAGAAUUUUUUGAACACUUGCCAUCUGCUAGGCACUCUACUAGGACUUUAAAAUUACCAACUCAUUCAAUCCUUAUGAUGAACCCAGGAGUUAGAUAUAACUAUAAUCCCAAUUUCACAGAGGUGCAAAUUAAGACCCAGACAGAUGUAAUAGCCCACCUAAGUCAUAUUGGAAGUGGGGGAGCUUGGAUUCAAAUCCAGACUGCCUGGAUUUCCAGAGCACAUACUCAUAGGCGAAGUGGCCUCUUUAAUAAUAGUGGCUAUCCUUGAUUGAGAGUCUAUUUAUGCAAAACUAGCACCUAUCAUGUGUUUACAUAGUUUACAUAAGCAUAUUAUAUACACUUUCUCAUUUCUCACAACAACCUUAUGAGGUAAUUACAAUUCUUAUCCUCCUUUUACAGUUAAAGAAACAAAAGCACAGAGAGGUUAAGUGACUUGGCCCUGGAUUGCAGAGCUUGUGUAGGGUGAACUCAGGCUUACCAGGGCUCUGAACUCGGGGUCUUUCCUUAAGUCAUUCUGUAUCUCUUGAGAUCAGUUCUUUUUAAACUCUUCAUUUUAGAGACGAGAUUCAACAGGAAUAGGAUGAAGAAAAGCUCAGUGAGGGUGAUUACAUGUUAGGAAAUCUGUGAGGUAAGGGUCAUUGUCCUCUUUUUAUAUACAUUGGUUAUCAUACAUACUAAAGUGCUGUAACCAAGAGGCCCCCAAAUGCAGUGACUUAAACAAGAUGGAAGCUUAUUUCUCUUUUGUGUAACUGGCAGUUUGGUGGUCUGAGGCUGGCUUCCAUUUGUGGAUUCAAGGCAGCUGUUCUACUUCUUGUAAUUUCUUAGCCAGGAGAAAGGCAAUGUGGAGGGAAAACAGCCUGCUUUACAUAUACCACACAGUUUCUCCUACUUCAAUUACAUUGGUCAGAAUAUGGUCACAUGGCACCUAAGCUGCAAGGCAGGCUGGGAAAUGUCUAUAGGGGUGGCCAUAAGCUCUGGGAAAGGAAGGAGGGAGUAAUGGAUCUUGGGAGCUGUCAGCAGUCUCUGCCACAUCACAGGUGAGGACAUGGAGACUCAGGGGGUAAAUAUUUGCCCAAUGCCACAUAGUUCAUGGCAAACAUGGAACAAGCACAUUUUGAAGAGGAAUAGAUGUGGGAGAAGUGUCAGUAUGUGGGGCAAUAGCUUGACAGGCCAGACAGGGAGGCAGAGAAAGCACAUUGCAAAGCGAUGAGUGGCAAAAACAUGCCAUGGUGAAAGAAUCAGGGACCUGGAAGAGCCAAUCUCAGAGGUUGGUAGAGCGGAUAGCUGGGUGCUCAUUUGUGCUUAUGGAAUGGAUGAUGUGAUCUGAGGUAAUGACAGGAAGUGGGGCUUUAGGGUUGCACGACUCUAGGGAGUACCACUUCCAAACAGUACCAUGGGAGUGAUGCCCCCUGGGGUCAUGCACCAUGUUGACUCUGCCCAGAAGGCUCUUCUCCUCCUGCCCUGUUACAGGUUGGAUUCCUUGGGGAAGAGACAUUGAGAUGGGAGUUGGCAUCCAGGAGAUUUAUUAGGGAGAGCUCUUGGGAUCAAUACCUAUGGGGGGAAGGGAAGGAAGCAGGAUUGAAAAGAGGAGGAAACUGAGCUGUAAUAUAGUCUCAACAGAAAGCUCAGCCAACCUUAGGGGGAGUCCAAAGGUGGGAUGAUCUUCCAAACUUGUCUCUGAAGUUGUUCAACCAGAAAGCUGGGCCUGCACACCCUCUGUUAAUCACCAGUUGGGUGCAGGCUGCCCGGGCAAUGAGGCAUGACCUUGGGAAUGACCUUGGAUGAGGUAUCUCUCUUCAGCUGAAGCAAUCCCUGAAAGGGCCUAACUGCAAAGGGCUCUCUUUUAAAAGUCCUUCAAAGGUUGAGAUAAUACAUCAUCCCUCCUUUCUCAGGGGGAUCUUGGCAGCACCUCCCAGCAUCCACUCGAUCAACGCACUGCACUGCCUGCUCUUCCUCGUCAUAGAGUCUGUGUCUCGAAGACUUUGGGCUCCGCGACAGCUCCCUUUUUCAAGUCUCAAAUAUGCCUGGAUUGGUGGGGAGGGGUAUCUACAGCUUAGAUUUCAUUAUCAGUUAAUUAGCAGCUGGUUUAACUGUCAGCCCCUCCUGGGGUCUUUUGCUAGCAUCAGAGAACACUAAUGGGACAGACGACAUCAAGACUGGAUGGGACAAGUGACAAGAGGUCUACCAUGAAGCAGAAGGAGAAGCUGAGAGGGAGGGAAAGUCACAUUCCUCUUUUCCUCCCUGAGCUCAAGGCAGAUUCUGCCUGGGGUGAGGGUAGGAGAGAACAGGGCAAUGUGGGGGUUUUAAGUCAGACUUUGCCAACCUCACAAUUUUGCCCAAGGCCAAUCCUACCUCAGACAUCCCCUCUUCCUCUUGUUUGAACUUCUAAUUUUCUGUUUGCCAAGAUGGCUGCCUGUUCAGAUGAAUGAAAGAUCACAGUUUGAUCUGACCCAGAGUUUGGUUCUUUUCUCCCUCCUUCAGCAUCACAGUUCACGCAUCUGAGGGCUGCAGCUAAAAAGUGAUUUUUAAAGACUUCUCAUUGGCAAAGAAAUCAAUGGAAAGAAACCUCUGCCCCCCUCUCCAUUCUGCUUUUAGUCUUUGUUCUCCUCCAAUCCCCUGCUAGGCAAGUUUUGUCUGAGGCCAUCUAACACACUUUGUCAGAAAGUUGCCUUGUUAAGGAUUGAGGUCCUGCUGGGUGAGCUGAGGAGGUGGUGAGAUUUCCCCACAGUCUUGGCAAUUAACUCAGCUUGAGGAAGGGGGUAGAAUCAAGAAUUCUAUCAGGAAGAUGGAAUCCUAAGGCAAAGUCAUCUUUCAAGGACAGGGUUAUUGCUAAAAUAGCUCUAUGGCAGCCUCCAAGGAACAAGUCCCUGGAAGGAGUGGUGUUACCUGGAGGGGACAGGUAGGAGGGGGAUGACCUUUCAAAAAGGUGUGGAAGAAAAGGCUCAGGCACCCAGGAUGCUCUGCACUCCAGCUGACACUCAAUGGCUGUGUCAUCUUGGCUCCACUCUUCUCUGCACAGACCACCUCAUCUAUAACUCAUAGUUUCUGCAGAUCAAAAUAUCAGCUUGCACCAGACUUUGCAGGUGCUCCAUCCCUACUCUGCCUCAUGAGCUUUCGGCUUUCAUUCCCAUGAACAGAUGCCACCUUGUGUUUCUUAGUUCACAUUCUGAGAGAGGGAGUCUGAUUGGUUCAGCUCAUCUUUAUGCACUACGCCUCUGGAUUGGCUGCCUUUAGGUCAGGUGAUUGAAUCUAAGCCAAUCAGCUGUCCACAGAAGGGUGGACUCACACCUCGUAGCUUGGAAGCUGGCUCAGAAGGGACUGGUGCAGAGUGUGGCUGCCUACACGGGAACUGAGGACACUCACUUUUGGGACACAGACACCAUGCUGUGAGGAAGCCCAAGCAGCCUGAAGAGAGCAACCAAGCUCCCCAGCCCAUAGCUCUGGCUGGGUUCCCAGGCUAAAACUGGCACCAACUUGCUGGCCAUGUAAAGGAGCCAUCUUGAAAGUGAGUCCUGCAGCUGCCAG
ensembl:lncRNA